CAGCCGCCGCGGUAAUACGAAGGGUGCAAGCGUUAAUCGGAAUUACUGGGCGUAAAGCGUGCGUAGGCGGUGAGUUAAGUCUGCUGUGAAAUCCCCGGGCUCAACCUGGGAAUGGCAGUGGAUACUGGCUCGCUAGAGUGUGGUAGAGGAUAGUGGAAUUUCAGGUGUAGCAGUGAAGUGCGUAGAGAUCGGAAGGAACAUCUGUGGCGAAGGCAGCCACCUGGGCCAAUACUGACGCUCAUGCACGAAAGCGUGGGGAGCAAACAGGAUUAGAUACCCGCGUAGUCCCUGUCUCUUAUAA
rnacentral:rRNA from 1 species